rnacentral:rRNA from 1 species
AGGACGAACGCUGGCGGCGUGCUUAACACAUGCAAGUCGAGCGGUAAGGCCUUUCGGGGUACACGAGCGGCGAACGGGUGAGUAACACGUGGGUGAUCUGCCCUGCACUUCGGGAUAAGCCUGGGAAACUGGGUCUAAUACCGGAUAUGACCUCAGGUUGCAUGACGUUGGGGUAGGAAAGUAGUUUAGUCGGUGCAGGACGUGGGCCCGCGGUCCUACGUCAGUCGUUGGUUGGGUGGGUUAAUGGGACCCUAACCGAAGGCGGACGGACGGGUACGACCGUACCGUAGGAGACGGGUAC